AAAUUGAAGAGUUUGAUCAUGGCUCAGAUUGAACGCUGGCGGCAGGCCUAACACAUGCAAGUCGAACGGUAACAGGAAGCAGCUUGCUGCUUUGCUGACGAGUGGCGGACGGGUGAGUAAUGUCUGGGAAACUGCCUGAUGGAGGGGGAUAACUACUGGAAACGGUAGCUAAUACCGCAUAACGUCGCAAGACCAAAGAGGGGGACCUUCGGGCCUCUUGCCAUCGGAUGUGCCCAGAUGGGAUUAGCUAGUAGGUGGGGUAACGGCUCACCUAGGCGACGAUCCCUAGCUGGUCUGAGAGGAUGACCAGCCACACUGGAACUGAGACACGGUCCAGACUCCUACGGGAGGCAGCAGUGGGGAAUAUUGCACAAUGGGCGCAAGCCUGAUGCAGCCAUGCCGCGUGUAUGAAGAAGGCCUUCGGGUUGUAAAGUACUUUCAGCGGGGAGGAAGGCGUUGUGGUUAAUAACCACAGCGAUUGACGUUACCCGCAGAAGAAGCACCGGCUAACUCCGUGCCAGCAGCCGCGGUAAUACGGAGGGUGCAAGCGUUAAUCGGAAUUACUGGGCGUAAAGCGCACGCAGGCGGUCUGUCAAGUCGGAUGUGAAAUCCCCGGGCUCAACCUGGGAACUGCAUUCGAAACUGGCAGGCUAGAGUCUUGUAGAGGGGGGUAGAAUUCCAGGUGUAGCGGUGAAAUGCGUAGAGAUCUGGAGGAAUACCGGUGGCGAAGGCGGCCCCCUGGACAAAGACUGACGCUCAGGUGCGAAAGCGUGGGGAGCAAACAGGAUUAGAUACCCUGGUAGUCCACGCCGUAAACGAUGUCGACUUGGAGGUUGUGCCCUUGAGGCGUGGCUUCCGGAGCUAACGCGUUAAGUCGACCGCCUGGGGAGUACGGCCGCAAGGUUAAAACUCAAAUGAAUUGACGGGGGCCCGCACAAGCGGUGGAGCAUGUGGUUUAAUUCGAUGCAACGCGAAGAACCUUACCUACUCUUGACAUCCAGAGAACUUAGCAGAGAUGCUUUGGUGCCUUCGGGAACUCUGAGACAGGUGCUGCAUGGCUGUCGUCAGCUCGUGUUGUGAAAUGUUGGGUUAAGUCCCGCAACGAGCGCAACCCUUAUCCUUUGUUGCCAGCGGUCCGGCCGGGAACUCAAAGGAGACUGCCAGUGAUAAACUGGAGGAAGGUGGGGAUGACGUCAAGUCAUCAUGGCCCUUACGAGUAGGGCUACACACGUGCUACAAUGGCGCAUACAAAGAGAAGCGACCUCGCGAGAGCAAGCGGACCUCAUAAAGUGCGUCGUAGUCCGGAUUGGAGUCUGCAACUCGACUCCAUGAAGUCGGAAUCGCUAGUAAUCGUGGAUCAGAAUGCCACGGUGAAUACGUUCCCGGGCCUUGUACACACCGCCCGUCACACCAUGGGAGUGGGUUGCAAAAGAAGUAGGUAGCUUAACCUUCGGGAGGGCGCUUACCACUUUGUGAUUCAUGACUGGGGUGAAGUCGUAACAAGGUAACCGUAGGGGAACCUGCGGUUGGAUCACCUCCUUA
rnacentral:rRNA from 1 species